rnacentral:rRNA from 1 species
CGACGAUGUGUGUUCCAUUUGGAUUCAAGAACCCGUAGUUCUAAAGGACAUGCCUCGAGGACUGGUUCACAGCUAGUUGUGGAGUAUGCCACCAGCGAGCACGGUAGGAACUGAGAGGGUGGCCCCACAUGGACUGACACGUCAUACACUACGGGUGGCCAGCAGUAGGGAUAUGCUCAAUUGGCGAAAGCUGAGCAGCAACGCCGCGUGUUGUGAUGAAGCUUCGGGUCGUAAAGCACUUUUCUAGAGAUGAGAAAGGACAGUAUCUCAGGAAUAAGUCUCGGCUAACUACGUGCCAGCAGCCGCGGUAAAACGUAGGAGGCAAGCGUUAUCCGGAUUCACUGGGCGUAAAGCGCGUGCAGGUGGCGCGGUAAGUUGGGCGUGAAAUCUCCCGGCUCAACUGGGAGAGGUCGUCCAAUACUACCGUGCUUGAGAGCAGAAGAGGAAGAUGGAAUUCCCGGUGUAGUGGUGAAAUGCGUAGAUAUCGGGAGGAACACCAGUGGCGAAGGCGAUCUUCUGGUCUGUUUCUGACACUCAGACGCGACAGCUAGGGUAGUAAACGGGAUUAGAGACCCCGGUAAUCCUAGCCGUAAACGAUGUGAACUUGGCGUUGGUGGGUUAAACUCCAUCAGUGCCGUAGCAAACGCGAUAAGUUCACCGCCUGGGGACUACGGCCGCAAGGUUAAAACUCAAAGGAAUUGACGGGGGCCCGCACAAGCAGCGGAGCGUGUGGUUUAAUUCGAUGCUACACGAAGAACCUUACCCAGGCUUGACAUACAGGUGGUAGGGAUCCGAAAGGUGACCGACCCGCAAGGGAGCCUGUACAGGUGUUGCAUGGCUGUCGUCAGCUCGUGUCGUGAGAUGUUCGGUUAAGUCCGCUAACGAGCGCAACCCUCGCUGCGUGUUACAAGUGUCACGCAGGACCGCCGGUAUUAAGCCGGAGGAAGGUGGGGAUGACGUCAAGUCAGCAUGGCCUUUAUGCCUGGGGCUACACACACGCUACAAUGGGCAGUACAAUGGGUUGCUAAGCCGCGAGGUGGAGCCAAUCCCCUAAAGCUGUCCUCAGUACAGAUUGCAGGCUGCAACUCGCCUGCAUGAAGCCGGAGUUGCUAGUAAACGCGCGUCAGCUAUAGUGCGUUGAAUACGUUCUCGGGCCUUGUACACACCGCCCGUC